CCAGGAUAUUAACAAGCAGGAAACACACUAGGAGGCAAAAAAGAGAAUGGAAGAAAGACUCCACGUUAGCAUCAAGAUCGUGGCUUAUGCAGCUUCAACCCCACAGUGGGGCUCACCUUGUCCGGAGCGUCUUCAUGGACUGCGUGGCCACACUGUGGGAGAACCUGCAUCUGGAACUUCCCUGUGGAUUGAGAGAGUCAGCACACGGAUCUCACGCUCUGCACCAACUGACCUCACUAAAUGUAGCUGGAAAAGAGGCCCCUUUGGAAAAGGGAUGGCAGGAAGUCUGGGCAGACUCCACACCAUGCACAGCCCGUGAUCUCCAGAGAAAACAUGGACCAGCUGCUUAAUUCACCUUCUCCAGGAGUCAGGCUACAAAGACAAGUGAUUCCAGAGACUGAGCCCAAGCUUUACCUCCACUCAAUGGCAUUCUCCAGCGACUUGAAUGUUUUGGGACGACUCCUUAGGAAGUUCUGCAUGCUGUUCAAG